rnacentral:lncRNA from 1 species
GUCCGUCGCUGUCAGUUGGGCUCUGUUUGGACUGCGCAGUCUUUUCAUUACUGCUGUUCUGUCAACUGAAACCGGCAGGUAGGCCUGUGCAAAAUGAGAACCUUUACCGCGUCAUCUUUAGUGGCUCUCACGUGGUUGUGCUUGCCUUUGGUCGCCUAUUCUCAGGACCAACCUUUGUUGUGUUAUGCGUGUACCUAUCGCACUGUAGCCGACAGAGUCGUAGGGGAGUAUUGCAGCGAUCCUUUCAAUGGUGAAGUGUCUGCUAACAUUACCUGCGAUUCAAUGUGUGUGAAACGUAUUUAUAAGGGCGGCGUGGAGCAGAUCAAACGAGGAUGCUAUUCUGACAUAGUGGGAGCAACUGGAACUUGUGAGACUUACCACGACAGAGAAGUCCCCAAUUCGGAUCCACCAGAGACGUUGACGCAAUUAUGCUGUGUAGACUCGCUCUGUAACCAUGGCAACAUCAGCACUUCAGCGCUGAGCGUUCUAAGGUUAACUUUGUUUAGUCUCCUGUGCAUACGUCUGUCUGGAUGAUGUUUGCCACUAUUAAUCACUGAAGCACACCUGCGUAUAUUGUAAUGUAGUAAUUUUUUAUCUCAGUUUGCUUGUCUCCAUUUUAUAAACAAAGAGCAUGGCAUGAUAGCUUUUACUUUGUGCAUGCACUGUAUUCAGGGACUGUCGAUUUGAUAUCAAAUUUGUCAACUUUUUCACAGUUGGAAUUAUUGUAAUGAUUCAACAACUGACCACAUAAUUGUAUGUCACUUUACGCGUUUGUACGUUGAAAAUGUAUGUUUGAAACUAAUAAUUCAAACCAUGAUAAGCAUAUUGCACGAGAUAUAUUAGACUACAAGGGUAACAUUUUGUGGAAAAACAUUUAUUUACACUUCACGCAAUUAUGCUGUAAAGACUCGCUCUGUAAUUUGUCAUCAAAAAAUUGUUACUCAAAUGCUACUUUUUGAAAGGGAACAUUGACACGAGAUAGUGUGACGUCGUAGUUCUUAUGUCAUGUGCGUUUUGUCUUUCCUUGUGGUUUUCUGGGAUGAACUUUCCUGGCGAUUUGUCUUGGGCUGAUUUGUUAGGCAAUUUUCUGCAAUAAAUUCCGUGUUUUAGAUACAAUCAAUUUGAAAUCAAGUGCAAUGCACUUUUAUGUUCAGAAACAGUUCGAAAGAAAAUGGCAUGGCUCUCUAUUUUGAUAUAAAUUUUUAAAAUCCAAUGUUCUUAAGCCACACUGAGCCAGGUUGGUAUUCCAACAGCGCAUGCUCAGUCCCAGGCUAUUCGAGAACAGCAACGCGCGCGCGCGCGAUUGUCUGUCCUAUCAGCGCAACCAUACGCUGACUCGCGCGCGCUUUGUUCCCGAAAGACCUUGGAGUUUUAAAUACCGAACUGGCACAUUUAAGGGUGACAGUGUGUAUCUCAAAUGUUCUACAUUUGCAAAGUCCUAUGCAUACAGGCUCAUAACUUGGUGAUAUCAGACCAGUAUCCUAAAAACUAAUGUCUUAAAAAAUCCAUCACCAAUGACGUAGCGUCAUCCUGAGAUCUUUUCUUGUUUUUAGAAUUUGCAACAAAUUCUGCACAUAUGUGAUCUAUUUAAUCUGUACGUGUCCAUCGGCAACAAUACAAGAUGCUCUUUAUCAAAAGCUCAUGAAUGCAUAAUAUGCGAGAAGGCCGACCUCUUACUUGAACGGACAAGUGCCUAGUUUUAUUCUUUGUUUCUGUUUUAAGUACAUACCAUCUAGAGGAAAAAUUUGCUGGACUAGUUUAUACGCUCCUGUGAAGUACAGUACAUGGACAUGUAUUCUGGUUAAAUUAACCACUGUAAUUUACAAAAUGAGUCAGGUCAGUAUUUCAAAAAGGAAGGUCAUUCAGGAAAGCACGCCAAUCACGCGCGCGCCAAUCCCCGAUGACCUCAGACGCGCUUCAUUUGGGGCACGCACUGUCUUAACUCCGAACUGACUAAUUGUUAUAAUCUUACAAAUAUUGUCAAUUGAAAACUGAAAUAAACGCAGAAUUUCGGGCUGAAGUAUACAGGAAUGUAACACACUGUUGUCAUCGUUUUAUUUCCAUUGAUUAGCUCUUUUUGUUUUCUUCCGAAAUCGCGCAUCGACUGUAUGGUGGUGCCAUCUAAACUUGCGAUGGACUUUUCUAUGAAUAUGUGAAAUCGACGCUACAGUUUCACAAAUUAAAUGCAUUUUGCAUUAAAUGGUGCUAUGACUGCAGUAACAGGUGACUUUAGCCAGUACAUGUAUACAGUACAUGUAUUUAAUAUUACGUGCAGUAAUUGAACCACAUUUGCUUCAAUACAACUAGUCUAUCAUGCUAGCAAUGUACACACAAUAACUUACUUCUUACGUGCGGUUUUAAGUAAACCUAGGAACUGCUAGGCAUGUGAUAUAUACACGUUGUUUCAACAAACAGAAAGCAAUCAUUUUUCAAGUCCAAAACUGACCAAACUGUUAAAAAAAAUCAUACUUUCAAACGAUACUUUCUGCAAUGCAGCCGUCGCAUCAAAACGUUUAUCCGCGGAAAAGACACUUAAAAAUAAACUCCUAUCAGAAUAAAGAAUUAAGAUUUUUAAGUUAUUACGUUCUGAAGACCUUUUAGAGCACUAUAAUUGAGCCCAUUAACUGUAGACAAGUAUGCUACAGAACUCACUUUAUGUAAUACACCGUCUUAUACACACCAAAAGACCCCCCCCAAAAAAAAAAUUUAAAAAAAUAGAUUCCACGGCUCCAGCACAGCUAAAAAAAAAAA